UACGUAGGUGUCAAGCGUUGUCCGGAUUUAUUGGGCGUAAAGCGCCCGCAGGCGGCUUGCCAAGUUCGAUGUGAAAUCUCCCGGCUCAACUGGGAGGGUGCAUCGAAAACUGGCAGGCUUGAGGCAGAGAGAGGGAUGUGGAAUUCCAGGUGUAGUGGUGAAAUGCGUAGAUAUCAGGAGGAACACCGGCGGUGUAGACGGCUUUCUGGACCGUAGCUGACGCUGAGACACGAAAGCGUGGGUAGCAAACAGG
rnacentral:rRNA from 1 species